UACAGAGGGGGCAAGGCGUUGUUCGGAAUUACUGGGCGUAAAGGGCGCGUAGGCGGCCUGUUAAGUCGAACGUGAAAUCCCCGGGCUCAACCCGGGAACUGCGUCCGAUACUGGCAGGCUUGAAUCCGGGAGAGGGAUGUGGAAUUCCAGGUGUAGCGGUGGAAAUGCGUAGAUAUCUGGAGGAAUACCGGUGGCGAAGGCGGCAUCCUGGACCGAACAUUGACGCUGAACGGCGAAAGCUAGGGGAG
rnacentral:rRNA from 1 species